GGAUAAUACGGAGGGUGCAAGCGUUAAACGGAAUAACUGGGCGUAAAGGGUGCGUAGGUGGUUAGAUAAGUUAUCUGUGAAAUACCUGGGCUCAACCUGGGCAGGUCAGGUAAGACUGUUUGACUCGAGUAUGGGAGAGGGUAGUGGAAUUUCCGGUGUAGCGGUGAAAUGCGUAGAGAUCGGAAGGAACACCAGUGGCGAAGGCGGCUACCUGGCCUAAUACUGACACUGAGGCACNAAAGCGUGGGGAGCAAACAGGAUUAGAUACCCUGGUAGUCCACGCUGUAAACGAUGUCAACUAGCUGUUGGAA
rnacentral:rRNA from 1 species